GGGCCCGUAGCUCAGCCUGGUUAGAGCACUCGGCUGAUAACCGGGGGGUCGUGGGUUCGAAUCCCACCGGGCCCA
rnacentral:tRNA from 2 species